rnacentral:rRNA from 1 species
UCAAGUUAUUAAGGGUGCAGGGCGGAUGCCUUGGCACUAGGAGCCGAUGAAGGACGUGAUAAGCUGCGAUAAGCUUCGGGGAGUUGCACGUAAACUUUGAUCCGAAGAUUUCCGAAUGAGGAAACUCACUUAGAGUAAUGUCUAAGUAUCAUUAAGUGAAUACAUAGCUUAAUGAGGGGAACUCAGGGAACUGAAACAUCUAAGUACCUGAAGGAAGAGAAAGAAAUUCGAUUCCGUAAGUAGCGGCGAGCGAACGCGGAUUAGCCCAAACCAAUAAAGUUUUCUUUAUUGGGGUUGCGGACAUAUCAUAACGAAGAGGUAUCGUAAUUGAAGAGGUUUGGAAAGACCCACCACAGAAGGUAAUAGUCCUGUAUGUUAAACGAGAAGACUUUAGAUAUGAUCCAGAGUACCACGGGACACGUGAAACCCUGUGGGAAGCAGGAGGGACCACCCUCCAAGGCUAAAUACUACCUAGUGACCGAUAGCGUAUAGUACCGUGAGGGAAAGGUGAAAAGAACCCCGGGAGGGGAGUGAAAUAGAACCUGAAACCCUGCACUUACAAGCUGUGGAAGCACAUUUCUUGUGUGACCGCGUACUUUUUGUAGAACGGGCCAACGAGUUACGUUAAGUAGCAAGGUUAAGCACUUAAGGUGUGGAGCCGUAGCGAAAGCGAGUUUUAACUGAGCGUUCAGUUACUUGACGUAGACCCGAAACCGGGCGACCUACCCAUGAGCAGGAUGAAGCGAAAGUAAAAUUUCGUGGAGGUCCGAACCCACGAGCGUUGAAAAGCUCGGGGAUGACUUGUGGGUAGCGGUGAAAUUCCAAUCGAGCCCGGAGAUAGCUGGUUCUCCCCGAAAUAGCUUUAGGGCUAGCCUCAAGGUGAGAGAUACGGAGGUAGAGCACUGAAUGUCCUAGGGGGUAUUGCACCUACCGAAGACUAUCAAACUCCGAAUGCCGUCAUCUUAUACUUGGGAGUCAGACUGUGGGUGAUAAGAUUCAUAGUCGAAAGGGCAACAGCCCAGAUCGUCAGCUAAGGUCCCUAAAUGUAAGUUAAGUGGUAAAGGAUGUGGGAUUGCACAGACAACCAGGAUGUUGGCUUAGAAGCAGCCAACUCAUUCAAAGAGUGCGUAAUAGCUCACUGGUCGAGUGAUCCUGCGCCGAAGAUUUCCGGGGCUAAAACUUACUACCGAAGCUACGGCAUCAGUAAUGAUGGGUAGGGGAGCUUCCCAUACGGGUUGAAGCAUGACCGUAAGGACAUGUGGACAGUAUGGGAGUGAGAAUGUUGGCAUGAGUAGCGAGAUGUGGGUGAGAAUCCCACAGGCCGUAAACCCAAGGUUUCCAGGGGAAGGUUCGUCCGCCCUGGGUUAGUCGGGACCUAAGCUGAGGCCGAAAGGCGUAGGUGAUGGACAACAGGUUGAUAUUCCUGUACUACCGAUAACCGUUUGAGAGAAGGGAUGACACAGUAGGAUAAGCUAAGCACACUGUUGGUUAUGUGUGCCCAAGCAUUGAGGCAGUCAAAGUAGGCAAAUCCGCUUUGAUAAUGCUGGGAUGUGAUGGGGAGCGAAAUUUAGUAGCGAAGUAGCUGAUUUCACACUGUCAAGAAAAGUCUCUAUCGAGGUUAAAGGUACCCGUACCGCAAACCGACACAGGUGGGUGAGGAGAGUAUCCUAAGGCCAGCGAGAGAACUGUUGUUAAGGAACUCGGCAAAAUGACCCCGUAACUUAGGGAGAAGGGGUGCCACCAUCAGGUGGCCGCAGAGAAUAGGCCCAAGCGACUGUUUACCAAAAACAUAGGUUUCUGCUAAGUCGCAAGACGAUGUAUAGGAGCUGACGCCUGCCCGGUGCUGGAAGGUUAAGGGGAUCUGUUAGAGCAAUCGAAGCAGUGAACUUAAGCCCCAGUAAACGGCGGCCGUAACUAUAACGGUCCUAAGGUAGCGAAAUUCCUUGUCGGGUAAGUUCCGACCCGCACGAAAGGCGUAACGAUUUGGGCACUGUCUCAACAACAGACUCGGUGAAAUUGUAAUUCCGGUGAAGAUGCCGGAUACCUGCGACAGGACGGAAAGACCCCAUGGAGCUUUACUGUAGCUUGACAUUGGGUCUUGGUACUACAUGUACAGGAUAGGUGGGAGGCUUUGAAACCAGGACGCCAGUUUUGGCGGAGCCAUCCUUGGGAUACCACCCUUGUAGUACUGGGACUCUAACCAUAGGCCAUGAAUCUGGUCUUGGGACACUGUCAGGUGGGCAGUUUGACUGGGGCGGUCGCCUCCCAAAAGGUAACGGAGGCGCUCAAAGGUUCUCUCAGUACGGUCGGAAAUCGUACGUAGAGUGUAAAGGCAAAAGAGAGCUUGAUUGCAAGACAUACAGGGCGAGCAAGGAUGAAAAUCGGACUUAGUGAUCCGGUGGUUCUGCGUGGAAGGGCCAUCGCUCAACGGAUAAAAGCUACCCUGGGGAUAACAGGCUUAUCUCCCCCAAGAGUCCACAUCGACGGGGAGGUUUGGCACCUCGAUGUCGGCUCAUCACAUCCUGGGGCUGUAGUAGGUCCCAAGGGUUGGGCUGUUCGCCCAUUAAAGUGGUACGCGAGCUGGGUUCAGAACGUCGUGAGACAGUUCGGUCCCUAUCCGUCGCAGGCGUAGGAAAUUUGAGAAGACCUGUCCUUAGUACGAGAGGACCGGGAUGGACGUACCUCUGGUGUACCAGUUGUUCUGCCAAGGGCAUGGCUGGGUAGCUAUGUACGGAAUGGAUAAGCGCUGAAAGCAUCUAAGCGCGAAGCCAACUUCAAGAUAAGAUUUCCCACCGCAAGGGUAAGACCCCAGAAAGACUAUCUGGUUGAUAGGUCGAAGGUGUAAGUGCAGCAAUGUAUUUAGCUUAUCGAUACUAAUAGGUCGAGGACUUGACCAA